GGAAUCGGUGAGUGAGAUAAAACGGAUCCACCCAAGCAGAGCGCAGUCUCCUGACCCGCCAGCGCGGGAGCUGGUGGUGUGGACGGCUGCCACGCCAUCGCGGACCCAGCCUAUUAUGGGUACUAACUACUACUACUGUGGUGCUGAUGAAAGUGGAUUGGUACUCACCCCUUUGGAGGAGUAAGGCGCUUACUGUGACUUAGCAGGGGAACCAAGGCAAACAACUUCUCCCACACUUCCCCUGUGCAAACUGCAUUAGGAAGAAAAAAAGAGCAACAGCCCAGCUCUGGACGCUUUCACUUCCCUGGGCAGACGUGGAGCGUGCACAGAGGGCAACCGGGAAUGCAAACCGAAACUUACUAGCCUUGGUGACGAGUUAGCUGGCUCAUUAGUCCUCUCAAACCCCUGUGAAGAGUAUUCUGAUCCCCAUUUUUCUAAAUUUCACAAAUUGAAUAUCUCAGGCUCAAAGGAGUAAAAUAAUUUGGCCAACUGGGGACCCAGGAUUUGAAUGCGUGCCGCGUGGCUCCAACGUUUGUUCCAUUAAGCAUUUCAGUGCACUGCCUCUGCACAUCGACACCUCGUGUUCCGACUUCCUCCCAGAAGAAGGAUUUACACAUGGAAGCUCCAAUCUCAAAAAGAACAGACAUGAAACCAAAUAUCAGCUAAAGGCAGAAAAUAUACAAGGUCACUCUCCUGCCGACCCACGCCCCUCACUCCUCUUUGGUGGUGCAGCAGGGCUGGCCUGCUUCCUGUUGCUCAGGACCCUCUGUCACUCAGGCUCUUCGGAGAAGCGGAAUCUGUGGUGUGAACGGCAACCACAGCAGGGCAGGCUCUUCAGAACCCAGCACGGGACCAACGGCGUGAUCUCAGCAGACAGAGACACAGAGGAACACAUCUCUUUAUCGAAACAUGAAUUUGCUAUUUCUAUUAAUGUUAUAUAAUUCAUAAACACACAGCUUUAUGUCCUAUAUGGAAAUCUAGGUGUACUAGAUUUUAGGUGUAGAUACCCAAUACCUAUAUAGUGAUGUCUUUCAAUAUAUCUCUAUUAGUCAAUUGAUAGAUAAAUCGAGAUUUAUUUUAAGAAAUGGGUUCAUGCAAUUGUGGAGCUGAUGCAUCCAAAACCCACAGGGCAGGCUGGCAAAGCUGGAAACUCAAGCAGGAAUCAUUUAAUGCUGAGGUCUUGAGACCAAUCUCUUCUCUGAGAAACCUGUGUCUGCCCACAUAGUAUAAAGAGAAACCCCCUUUACCUAAGGUCACCUGAUUGUACAUGUUAAUCACGUGCAUAUGUGCAGUGCUGGCCUGGCAUGUUCAAAGCCCUGGGAUUGAUCCCAGCACCACAAAAUAAAAAAUCAAAAAACAGGAGCACCUAGAUUGGUGUCUGACUGAACAGUGGUGCAGUGCCUAGACAAACUGACACACAAAACUAACCAGCACACCCUCCAGACUUGUGCUGGUAGUUCCUAUUUCCUCAGCCCCCAAAUCUCACUCUCUGAUCCUAGAGUAAAUGGCUUCUUCUUAUUAAUCAGGUAGUUUUAAAAUAUUCACAAAAAAGAACAGUGUCAGUGGCACAUGCCUGCGAUCCAAGCAACUUGGGAAGCUGAGGCAGGAGAAUUGCAAGUUUGAGGUCAGCCUCAGCAACUUAGCAAGACCCUGUCUCAAAAGAAAAAGGGCUGGGGAUAUAGCUCAGUGGCAGAGCACCCCUGAAUUCAAUUCCUAAAUAAAUAAAAUGUAGAUUCAGUGUUAAUACCAGUGCUAAAUAUUUUAAAACUCAUUUCACAUCAGAAAUUAAACCUACCAUAGUGCAUAAAAUAAUAACUUGCAUGCAGUUCUCAGAAUCCUCAGAAGAUGUGCUGUGUCAUAUGGCUAAGGCACAGUCUUCAGAGUCAGACUAAUUCUAUUUUGUCACUUUUCUGUGGCAUGAUUGUGGGCAAGGUAUUAUUCUCUUAAAGGUUGUGAUCUUGUUUUGUAAAUGGUGAAUAAUAACACCUUUCAUGAAUGGGUGCUAUAUUUUAUUAAAUGUUUUCUCUGUAUCUGUUGAGAUGACCAAGUGAUUUUUGUCCUUAAUUCUACUUAAGUGUUAAGACCCCUUUGCAUUCCUGAAAUAAAACCAAUUUGG
rnacentral:lncRNA from 1 species